rnacentral:sRNA from 1 species
CUGGCUCCAGCUAGACUCGGCAGAAAUAGGAGCGCGCAGGCGCGACGUGCGGCUCGCAGAACGCCGAGUAGCGGAGCGGGACCCGCUGGAAUCAUCAUCCAGGGACGUGCCAGAAACCGCAAGAAAACAUGGGGAGGGAAGGAGUUUUGGAGCACCUACACAAAAGCGCAACAAGGGGAGAGUAACCGAGGAAGUGACUGGUUUCAGUUUUACCUUACCUUUCCGUUAAUCUUUGGCCUCUUCAUUAUCCUCCUUGUCAUUUUCCUAAUCUGGAGAUGCUUCCUAAGAAACAAAACUCGUAGACAGACAGUGACUGAAGGCCACAUUCCUUUCCCUCAGCACCUUAAUAUUAUCACCCCACCCCCCCCACCAGAUGAAGUGUUUGACAGCAGUGGAUUGUCUCCAGGCUUUCUGGGAUACGUAGUUGGGCGCUCAGAUUCCGUCUCUACUCGCCUGUCCAAUUGUGAUCCCCCACCAACCUAUGAGGAAGCCACUGGCCAAGUGAACCUGCAGAGGAGUGAAACAGAACCUCAUUUAGACCCACCCCCGGAGUAUGAGGACAUAGUCAACUCCAACUCAGCCAGUGCCAUUCCUAUGGUGCCUGUGGUCACCACCAUCAAAUGAAGCUGCAAACUUCUUUUUACUCUAAU